CGUGGGAUCAGUGGCGAACGGGUGAGUAACACGUGAGCAACCUGCCCCUGACUCUGGGAUAAGCGCUGGAAACGGCGUCUAAUACUGGAUACGAGACGUGAUCGCAUGGUCAUCGUCUGGAAAGAAUUUCGGUUGGGGAUGGGCUCGCGGCCUAUCAGCUUGUUGGUGAGGUAAUGGCUCACCAAGGCGUCGACGGGUAGCCGGCCUGAGAGGGUGACCGGCCACACUGGGACUGAGACACGGCCCAGACUCCUACGGGAGGCAGCAGUGGGGAAUAUUGCACAAUGGGCGCAAGCCUGAUGCAGCAACGCCGCGUGAGGGAUGACGGCCUUCGGGUUGUAAACCUCUUUUAGCAGGGAAGAAGCGAAAGKGACGGUACCUGCAGAAAAAGCGCCGGCUAACUACGUGCCAGCAGCCGCGGUAAUCGUAGGCGGUUUGUCGCGUCUGCUGUGAAAUCCCGAGGCUCAACCUCGGGCCUGCAGUGGGUACGGGCAGACUAGAGUGCGGUAGGGGAGAUUGGAAUUCCUGGUGUAGCGGUGGAAUGCGCAGAUAUCAGGAGGAACACCGAUGGCGAAGGCAGAUCUCUGGGCCGUAACUGACGCUGAGGAGCGAAAGGGUGGGGAGCAAACAGGCUUAGAUACCCUGGUAGUCCACCCCGUAAACGUUGGGAACUAGUUGUGGGGUCCAUUCCACGGAUUCCGUGACGCAGCUAACGCAUUAAGUUCCCCGCCUGGGGAGUACGGCCGCAAGGCUAAAACUCAAAGGAAUUGACGGGGACCCGCACAAGCGGCGGAGCAUGCGGAUUAAUUCGAUGCAACGCGAAGAACCUUACCAAGGCUUGACAUAUACGAGAACGGGCCAGAAAUGGUCAACUCUUUGGACACUCGUAAACAGGUGGUGCAUGGU
rnacentral:rRNA from 1 species